rnacentral:rRNA from 1 species
AAUGAACGUUGGCGGCGUGGAUUAGGCAUGCAAGUCGAGCGUACCCAGCAAUGGGGAAGCGGCAAACGGGGUAGUAAUGCGUCGGUACGUGCCCUCGGGACGAGGAUAGCCACGGGAAACUGUGGGUAAUACUCGAUGAUCUCGUGAGAGCAAAGGUGUGACUCCGCCGGAGGAGCGGCUGACGUGGUAUUAGGUAGUCGGUAGGGUAAUGGCCUACCAAGCCUGGGAUGCCUAGGGGGUGUGAGAGCAUGGCCCCCACCAUUGGGACUGAGAAACUGCCCCGACACCUACGGGUGGCUGCAGUCGAGGAUCUUCGGCAAUGGGCGCAAGCCUGACCGAGCGACGCCGCGUGCGGGAUGAAGGCCUUCGGGUUGUAAACCGCUGUCAGGGGGGAUGAAAUCAUGGUGGGUACUCCCAUCAUGUUGACAGAGCCCCAGAGGAAGCGCGGGCUAAGUUCGUGCCAGCCGCCGCCGUAAUAC